GUCCACACUGUAAACGAUGAUUACUCGAUGUUGGCGAUACACAGCCAGCGUCUUAGCGAAAGCGAUAAGUAAUCCACCUGGGGAGUACGCCCGCAAGGGUGAAACUCAAAGGAAUUGACUGGGGUCCGCACAAGCGGUUGAGCAUGUGGUUUAAUUCGAUGAUACGCGAGGAACCUUACCUGGGCUAGAAUGCCCUUGACAGAUUCAGAGAUGGAUUCUUCCGCAAGGACAAGGAGCAAGGUGCUGCAUGGCUGUCGU
rnacentral:rRNA from 1 species